GAGAGUUUGGCCGAGUGGUUAAGGCGUCAGAUUUAGGUCUUCUCAAGGUAAUUUCCGGAUUACCUUGUAAGCACUCUGAUAUCUACGGAUGCGCGGGUUCGAAUCCCGUAGCUCUCA
rnacentral:tRNA from 2 species